rnacentral:rRNA from 1 species
UACAGAGGUCCCGAGCGUUUGUUCGGAUUCAUUGGGCGUAAAGGGUGCGUAGGCGGCUUUCUAAGUUUGAUGUGAAAUCCUGGGGCUCAACCCUGGAACUGCAUUGAAUACUGGGAGGCUAGAGAACUGGAGAGGAGACUGGAAUUUACGGUGUAGCAGUGAAAUGCGUAGAGAUCGUAAGGAAGACCAGUGGCGAAGGCGAGUCUCUGGACAGUUACUGACGCUGAGGCACGAAGGCCAGGGAGCAAACGGG